CUCAUCUGAUCAGGGAGACUCUGGAAGUGCAGAGCACUCCUCUACUAAGGCAUUUUCUGCAGUGGGGUGACACAAGGGGGUAUUGGAAAAGUCUAUAAUCUUGUUACAUACGGAAGUGCUUCCCCCCAAAACCAAAAGGGAUUCCGCACGCCUGUCCUAUCCCAUCCCCAUCUCAGAUGUGGCAACGCAAAGUAAACACGUGGCCCGAAGUGUUUCUGAAAUCACUGGACAUGGAUUCGAAUAGGAUUUGUCUUGAACUGUUCAUGCUCGUCUUCAGGACAACGGAGGCUGGCUGAGUAUAAACCAUAGCGAUUGAAAUACACAAGUUUGCAGUAGCUUCUUCUCGUUUCGUCUGCUCAUCUCUCUUCACCCAACCCCCACCAACACAAAUUCUGUAGCUCAUUUCCCCAUCAAAGCUGGAGUGUCCUGCCUGUAUGCCUGAUAACCGCUUCAGAACAACCAGAUAUUGUAAUUUACUUUCCUCGCUCUACAUUCAAUUCCCGGGAACAGUGAAAUUCAACAGACAGCGGGUCAAGUAGCCGGAAGGUUGCUAGAUCGAAACCCGGAGCUGAUAAAGUAAAAAUCUGUUUUUCUGCCCCUGUUCCUAGGCUGUCGUUGUAAAUAAGAAUUUGUUCUUAACUGACUUUCCUAGUAAAAUAAAGGUAAAAAAAAAAAGUAAGGAGGACGUGAGUUUAUUUCCAAAACACUGUAUCCACACAUUGGUUACAUGUGUUUUUUCAUCAGAAAUUAUUGCUUAUGGGUACCCUUUGUGUGUGUAAAACAUGUCUGUUCUCAGAUUUUUUUAUUAAUAGAUUUUAGAUAUGUAAUAAUUUUUUUUUUGUUGCUCAAUUAUAUAUAUCCAUUGUUUAGCUGGAAUGGAACGUUCUCUAUUGUAUAUUUGACUGUAAUAUGUGGUUGUCUCACCUAGCUAUCUUAAGAUCAAUGCACAAUUUUAAGUCACUGGAUAUGAGCAUCUGCUAAAUGAAAAAAAUGUCAAAUGUAAAUGUUUUACAUGCAGAUCUCAUCAAAAACAAAGGAGGACCAAGGCACACUUCAUAUAAUUAAUUAAAAUGCCUUAUGGCAUGUACAAUGGAAAUAACAUUUAAAAACUCUUAUUGUAUUGAUAAUUGACAAAUGUAUAAUUUCUACAGAUCUUAAUAAAAAACAUUGUUAUUUGUUACACUGUAAAA